rnacentral:lncRNA from 1 species
UUGACGACAAACUGGAAGGAUUGUUUCUUAAAUGUGGCGGCAUAGACGAAAUGCAGUCUUCCAGGGCAAUGGUUGUAAUGGGUGGAGUGUCUGGCCAGUCCGCCGUGUCCGGAGAACUUCAGGAGUCAGUACUUCAAGAUCGAAGUUUGCCUCACCAGGAGAUCCUUGCUGCUGACGAAGUGUUACAAGAGAGUGAAAUGAGACAACAGGAUAUGAUAUCCCAUGAUGAACUCAUGGUCCACGAGGAGACAGUGAAAAAUGACGAAGAGCAGACGGACACCCACGAGCGGCUUCCUCAAGGACUGCAGUAUGCGCUUAAUGUCCCCGUAAGUACUGAGCCAGAAA